rnacentral:rRNA from 2 species
GCCCUGGCAGUCAGAGGCGAUGAAGGGCGUGCUAAUCUGCGAUAAGCGCCGGUAAGGUGAUAUGAACCGUUAUAACCGGCGAUACCCGAAUGGGGAAACCCAGUGUGAUUCGUCACACUAUCAUUAACUGAAUCCAUAGGUUAAUGAGGCGAACCGGGGGAACUGAAACAUCUAAGUACCCCGAGGAAAAGAAAUCAACCGAGAUUCCCCCAGUAGCGGCGAGCGAACGGGGAGGAGCCCAGAGCCUGAAUCAGCAUGUGUGUUAGUGGAAGCGUCUGGAAAGGCGCGCGAUACAGGGUGACAGCCCCGUACACAAAAGCGCAUGUGCUGUGAGCUCGAUGAGUAGGGCGGGACACGUGGUAUCCUGUCUGAAUAUGGGGGGACCAUCCUCCAAGGCUAAAUACUCCUGACUGACCGAUAGUGAACCAGUACCGUGAGGGAAAGGCGAAAAGAACCCCGGCGAGGGGAGUGAAAAAGAACCUGAAACCGUGUACGUACAAGCAGUGGGAGCACAGGUUUACCUGUGUGACUGCGUACCUUUUGUAUAAUGGGUCAGCGACUUAUAUUCUGUAGCAAGGUUAACCGAAUAGGGGAGCCGGAGGGAAACCGAGUCUUAACCGGGCGUUAAGUUGCAGGGUAUAGACCCGAAACCCGGUGAUCUAGCCAUGGGCAGGUUGAAGGUUGGGUAACACUAACUGGAGGACCGAACCGACUAAUGUUGAAAAAUUAGCGGAUGACCUGUGGCUGGGGGUGAAAGGCCAAUCAAACCGGGAGAUAGCUGGUUCUCCCCGAAAGCUAUUUAGGUAGCGCCUCGUGAAUUCAUCUCCGGGGGUAGAGCACUGUUUCGGCUAGGGGGCCAUCCCGGCUUACCAACCCGAUGCAAACUGCGAAUACCGGAGAAUGUUAUCACGGGAGACACACGGCGGGUGCUAACGUCCGUCGUGAAGAGGGAAACAACCCAGACCGCCAGCUAAGGUCCCAAAGUCAUGGUUAAGUGGGAAACGAUGUGGGAAGGCCCAGACAGCCAGGAUGUUGGCUUAGAAGCAGCCAUCAUUUAAAGAAAGCGUAAUAGCUCACUGGUCGAGUCGGCCUGCGCGGAAGAUGUAACGGGGCUAAACCAUGCACCGAAGCUGCGGCAGCGACGCUUAUGCGUUGUUGGGUA